GGGGUUGUAGCUCAGUGGUAGAGUGCUUGCUUGGCACACAUGAGGCACUGGGUUCUAUUCUCAACACCA
rfam:Ictidomys tridecemlineatus contig010975, whole genome shotgun sequence.